rnacentral:rRNA from 1 species
CACGUAGGGCGCAAGCGUUGUCCGGAAUUAUUGGGCGUAAAGAGCUCGUAGGCGGUCUGUUGCGUCCGCUGUGAAAACUCGGGGCUUAACCCCGAGCCUGCAGUGGAUACGGGCAGACUAGAGGUAGGUAGGGGAGAAUGGAAUUCCCGGUGUAGCGGUGAAAUGCGCAGAUAUCGGGAGGAACACCAGUGGCGAAGGCGGUUCUCUGGGCCUUACCUGACGCUGAGGAGCGAAAGCGUGGGGAGCGAACAGG